rnacentral:SRP_RNA from 1 species
GGGAGGCUGGCAGUGGACGAAUCUUGUGCCAACUCGGCCAGGUUCGAAAGAAAGCAACCGUACGCACGCUUAGAUUCGGGUUAUUGUUUGGCCUCCCACA